rnacentral:rRNA from 1 species
UACGUAGGGGGGCAAGCGUUGUCCGGAAUCAUUGGGCGUAAAGCGCGUGUAGGCGGUUCGGUAAGUCUGCUGUGAAGUCCAGGGCUCAACCCUGGGAUGCCGGUGGAUACUGUCGGACUAGAGUACGGAAGAGGCGAGUGGAAUUCCCGGUGUAGCGGUGAAAUGCGCAGAUAUCGGGAGGAACACCAAUUGCGAAGGCAGCGC